rnacentral:rRNA from 1 species
UGGGGAAUAUUGGACAAUGGGCGCAAGCCUGAUCCAGCAAUGCCGCGUGAGUGAUGAAGGCCUUAGGGUUGUAAAGCUCUUUCGCACGCGACGAUGAUGACGGUAGCGUGAGAAGAAGCCCCGGCUAACUUCGUGCCAGCAGCCGCGGUAAUACGAAGGGGGCUAGCGUUGUUCGGAAUUACUGGGCGUAAAGGGCGCGUAGGCGGCCUGUUUAGUCAGAAGUGAAAGCCCCGGGCUCAACCUGGGAAUAGCUUUUGAUACUGGCAGGCUUGAGUUCCGGAGAGNAUGGUGGAAUUCCCAGUGUAGAGGUGAAAUUCGUAGAUAUUGGGAAGAACACCGGUGGCGAAGGCGGCCAUCUGGACGGACACUGACGCUGAGGCGCGAAAGCGUGGGGAGCAAACA